UACGUAGGGGGCGAGCGUUGUCCGGAAUGACUGGGCGUAAAGGGCGUGCAGGCGGCGGAAUAAGUCUGGAGUGAAAGUCCUGCUUUCAAGGGAGGAAUUGCUUUGGAUACUGUUCUGCUUGAGUACAGCAGAGGUAAGCGGAAUUCCCGGUGUAGCGGUGAAAUGCGUAGAGAUCGGGAGGAACACCAGUGGCGAAGGCGGCUUACUGGGCUGAUACUGACGCUGAGGCGCGAAAGCGUGGGGAG
rnacentral:rRNA from 1 species